CACGCCCCAACCCACGACUCAGCUGUGGCAACUGUGAGGUGGCCUCCAGCGGAUACAACCCGAAUCCGGCCGAAUCAUCUAUAUCCAUUGCCAGGCUGCGAUUGAAAUCGUGCAGCUCCUCGGCCAAAUCUAAUAUGAACGGUCUUGCGGGGAUUAGUUUCGUCUGGGAACCGGCGGCGAUCCGUUCUGGCCUCCAACUGGACUGCGUUUGAGCCCUUAUGGCUGAAUGUUGACGCUUUUAAGCGGCUUUGCAGCGCUGAAUGGAAAACCUGGUCACUUCCAGUCUGCUUCCAGGCCAGCUCCCAGGCGAAAAACUAUGCAACUCCUCCAGAGAACUCGCCAAGGGGAAGGGCUACCCAUUAAAACAGUCAGUCAAGCCAUGUACUAUGCCAUUUUCUGCUAUAUACACCGAAAUAAGAGAUACUUUUCCUCUGCCACAGAUAGCCGGAGAACAAAGAAAGUACUCGUACUCGUAGCCGGCGAGAAACCAGACAAACCAAACUGCAACGUUGCUAAACCAAAUGGAAAAGAUAAGUAAAAGAGGCGAAACCGGCUUGAAAUCGAAGCAUAUAUGCACGAAUAUCCCCCCCAGAGAUGCCAUCUUCCUUGUGCCGGCGAUAUAUAUGCUCAUAUAUACAAAUAUCCAUAUAGACGGGGUAUAUGUAAAGUGGUCGUGUUGCAGCUGAAUUCCCACUGCCGGCAUUGAGCGAACAGCUGAGAGUCUGAGUCUCGUGCCGGUUGCCGAUGCGGAUUCGAGUCGCCGGCGAUAAACAACUACAACAACAGCUGGCUGGCUGGGCCGCCUGGAAGCUACAAAUCCGCUGUUGCCCGAGCUGGAGGAUUGGCAAGCCGGCGUCGCGUAAACAUGCGCAGUGACAGCGUCUGGGGCAACUCAUACAUAUGGUAUCGCCAUAUACAUUUGUAUGUACCCAGCCACACAGAUGAUGAUAAUAUGCUGGAUUCGUAUAUGGUUACAUAGCCAAGUGCAGGCGAUGGCAACCGGUUGAAAAGCUCCAAAAUGCAAAAACAACAACACCAACAACAUCCAGACGGGGGCCAGACAGUGGAGACUUUGCUAAAAAUUUAGUGGGACCCCGAACUCAGCUGCGGGAUAUGGACACAUAUUAUAUAUGUUUGUAUUCAUGUGGUGUAUAUGCCAACUGCAGUCGGAAGAGAGCAAAAACCUUCAGUGAUUGCUGCGUACGAGAUGCCCUCUUGUACAUAUGAUACAUUCCCCAUGUACUUGGUACUUGCUCCCAUUUACCUAACCAAGGGGAAGAAAUCCGCCGGACGAGCAUGCUCGCACAUUAUGUGGCCACCUUUUUGAAUAGACAACUUCCACUGCGUUGGCGUUGGAUUGUCCAAACCCUGGGCAAGAGUACUCUACUCCAGUGGAGGAGGAGUGGCGACAAGAAAAUGGGGCCAUAAAUAAAAACUCGAAUGAUAUAACAACCAGGGAUUGAGUUCUAUAGCAAUGCCCAUUUAAUAUAUGGUUAUUCAAUCGCUACAACAAAUUGUAAACAAAUUGUCAUUUGAUUUGGUUAUUACGAAUUAAAUUUAAACAAUAUGUACAUACUGAAUAUUUAACAAUUUGAACUAAACAAAUGUGCAGCUAAAUCUUACAUACAUACUUAUGUACAUACAUAGUUGUCUUAAGAGCAAAUUUGAUCAAAUAUAAUAAAUACUAGACUACU